rnacentral:misc_RNA from 1 species
UGGUUCUGGCAUCGAUGAAGAACGCAGCGAAAUGCGAUAAGUAAUGUGAAUUGCAGAAUUCCGUGAAUCAUCGAAUCUUUGAACGCAUAUUGCGCCCCUUGGUAUUCCGGGGGGCAUGCCUGUUCGAGCGUCAUUAUCACCACUCAAGCCCAGCUUGGUAUUGGGGCAGGCCCGCACCGGCCGCCCCUAAAUUCAGUGGCAGGGACCCUCUCGACCCAGAUGCAGUAACAGCUCGUCUUGGGGCGCGGGGGGUCCAGCGCCAAAACUCACUCAAGGUUGACCUCGGAUCAGGUAGGAAUACCCGCUGA